rnacentral:antisense_RNA from 1 species
CUGGAGAGAAAGGGCUGAGAACCCGGAGGCAGCGGCGGCGGCGGCGGCGGGCCGGGGCUGCCGGUUCGCAGGGCGGCUAGCUCGCGAGGAGGCGCGGCCAGAGCGGUGGGACCGGUGACAACAAGAGCCGAGAAGACGCAGGGACCCGGGACCGCGCGCGGGAGGAAACGCGGCGGCCGCCCAAGCUGUCACCUCCAGCCUCUCCCCUCUCGGCCGCCUCUGCCAGCAGCCAGAGCCGGACUCACUGACAAGCCGCAGAGAGAGACACACUGAGAGGGAGAUGAUUAUUAGUUGCGUUGAGUCAUCAGGCAAAGACCCCGAGGGCUCUCCCACAUCUCCCGCAGCAAGAGCUACCGAUCCCCCUUAAGAAGCGUUGACUGUACGGCGGCGCCAGAGGGCCAAACUAAGUUCGGUUUCGGGAAACGCUCUCGGGAGCAGUUCUGUAAAUCCCGGCUGCGGAAAGCUGAGUCCGCCGAUCGUGCCCGGGACAAGGCUGCCUUCCACUCGCCGCAUCUACCUGGUAGGCGGCAUGCGCACGGGCUUA